rnacentral:rRNA from 1 species
UGAACGCUGGCGGUAUGCUUAACACAUGCAAGUCGAACGGAAACGAUACUAGCUUGCUAGUAGGCGUCGAGUGGCGGACGGGUGAGUAACGCGUAGGAAUCUGCCUGAUAGUGGGGGAUAGCCCGAAGAAAUUCGGAUUAAUACCGCAUAAUCUAUUCGUAGUAAAGUGGGGGACUUUCGAGCCUCACGCUAUCAGAUGAGCCUGCGUAAGAUUAGCUUGUUGGUAGGGUAAAAGCCUACCAAGGCGACGAUCUUUAGCUGGUCUGAGAGGAUGAUCAGCCACAUCGGGACUGAGACACGGCCCGAACUCCUACGGGAGGCAGCAGUGGGGAAUAUUGGACAAUGGGGGCAACCCUGAUCCAGCAAUACCGCGUGUGUGAAGAAGGCCUGAGGGUUGUAAAGCACUUUCAAUUGUGAAGAAAAGUUAGCGGUUAAUAACCGUUAGCCUUGACGUUAACUUUAGAAGAAGCACCGGCUAACUCCGUGCCAGCAGCCGCGGUAAUACGGAGGGUGCAAGCGUUAAUCGGAAUUACUGGGCGUAAAGCGUGCGUAGGUGGUUUAUUAAGUCAGAUGUGAAAGCCCCGGGCUUAACCUGGGAACUGCAUUUGAAACUGGUCAACUAGAGUAUGGUAGAGGAAAGUGGAAUUUCUGGUGUAGCGGUGAAAUGCGUAGAUAUCAGAAGGAACAUCAAUGGCGAAAGGCAGCUUUCUGGACCAAUACUGACACUGAGGUACGAAAGCGUGGGUAGCAAACAGGAUUAGAUACCCUGGUAGUCCACGCCGUAAACGAUGAUAACUAGCCGUUGGGGGGAUUUACCCUUUAGUGGCGAAGCUAACGCGUUAAGUUAUCCGCCUGGGGAGUACGGCCGCAAGGUUAAAACUCAAAGGAAUUGACGGGGACCCGCACAAGCGGUGGAGCAUGUGGUUUAAUUCGAUGCAACGCGAAGAACCUUACCUGGUCUUGACAUCCUGCGAACUUUCUAGAAAUAGAUUGGUGCCUUCGGGAACGCAGUGACAGGUGCUGCAUGGCUGUCGUCAGCUCGUGUCGUGAGAUGUUGGGUUAAGUCCCGUAACGAGCGCAACCCCUAUCCUUAUUUGCCAGCACAUCAUGGUGGGAACUAUAAGGAGACUGCCGGUGAUAAACCGGAGGAAGGCGGGGACGACGUCAAGUCAUCAUGGCCCUUACGACCAGGGCUACACACGUGCUACAAUGGGAAGGACAAAGAGCCGCGAAGCCGCGAGGUGUAGCUAAUCUCAUAAACCUUUUCGUAGUCCGGAUUGGAGUCUGCAACUCGACUCCAUGAAGUCGGAAUCGCUAGUAAUCGUAGAUCAGAAUGCUACGGUGAAUACGUUCCCGGGUCUUGUACUCACCGC